GGUAUCGCUUCGAUCUCGCGACUCCUCUGUUCCCACAAGGAGACAGCGAUGCCAAGUGUCUUGCAAUGAUAGCGGUGCUGCAGAAAAUACUUUAUAUACUGCAAGGUUCUUAAACCUUGCUCUUUUAUUACUUUGCAGUUUUGAAGAGUCUCACAAAAUCUCUUCAGUCAUGAGAAUAAAUUGUUGUUGUAAUAGUGGUAGUGUUGUAGCCGGGCAGUUUUUACCCAAAAGGAGACCAGGACGAGCCCUUUAUGAAUUUGAAGUUUUUUGUUGAGCCACACGGACCCGGCCGAAGGCAAGCAAUCUUGUGACUACUAGUCUAGAGAGGCGGCCCCGAUUCGUUAAAGACGGGUUUAUGAAGGGAAAGACACAGGUUCAGUACUUCCGUUGACGCGGUGGCUGUUGGCAAGCAUAGCAGGAUAUGAACUUUUAACAAAACGGGGCAUAAGUAAACUGCCAUGGCUUCUCGGUUUGAUCGGGGAGCAGAAAGACUUGUUGUUACGGAAAAGAACAAUGCAAGUUCGUAAUGGUCCCCGUAAGUAGCCGUGUAUGCCUGAGCGUCAGGCUGACGUUUUACUCCGAGAUACGGUCAGGAAUUAAUGAACAUAUUCUUUUCGUUUCAUUAGCGGGGGAUUUUCCUGGAGUGGGGGACCUCCUGUACGCUGAAGAGCACUCUGCCAUUGAAAUAUACUGAUUUUUUAAAAACAGAGUUUUAAAUUUUUAUCUUUGUGUUUUGCCUGCUUGUGUUCAAGUGCGCCGUGAACAUGCAAGGCCAGCAAAGGCCAUCAGAGGGAGUCGGAUACCCUGGAAUUGCAGUUACAGUUGGGAGCCCCCCUGUGGGUGACUUAACCUAAGUCCUCUAAUCUACAGAUCCAGCCUGGAAAUAUGCCUAUUUUAAAAGAACCGCCAAGCAAGCAAACAAUCUAAAAGAUUGAAGAAAUGUCUUGCUUCUUUUAUUCAGAAUGGCACAGCAGUCAUUUGGGAAACUGACUGUCCAGCUUAUCCAUCUAAAAUCCCAGUAUCAGGCUGGGAGGUAAGCUAGUGUAAAAGCAUUUACCACACAAGCAUGAGGACCUGAGUUCAAAUUCCUACAUAAAGCCAGAUGGCCAACUCAGACAAGGUAGAAAGCAAAGCCAACAGCAGAGGAUGUCCUCUAGCCUCCAUACUGACAUUGUGGCAUGCUUGUGUCCUCACAGACAACCAUGCCUGUGUACUCUCUCUCUCUCUCUCUCUCUCUCUCUCUCUCUCUCUCUCUCUCUCUCUCUCUCUCUCAUACACACACACACACUCAUAACAUUUAAAAUAAUUUAUCAUUGAUAAUUACAAUAAUAAAGAUCACCACCUUACCUCCCCUCCUCUCUUCAAAUCAUCCUUUAGAAACCAUCACUUCAUCUUAAUAAGUUAAAAAUUGAACAAACAAAGGAGUGUCUCUGAGGUUAAAAGCACUUGUUCCUCUUGCAGAGGACUUAGAAUCAGUUCCCAGUAUCCAUGUGGUGGCUACUACCAUCAAUAAUUCAAGUUCCAUGGGAUCUGAUAUCCUCUUCUAAUCUUCAAGGGUACCAAGCAUUCAUGAGUUGCACAUGUAGGCAAAACAGACGCAUAAAAUAAAUAAAUCUAAAAAAGACCAAAGUAAAACAACUUUGUAGAGAAUGGGGAGAAGGCCCAAUUGGUAGAGUGGGUGCCAUGCAAACACGAUAAUCUGAGUUUGAGCCCCAAAACUCACAUAAAAAAUCCAGGUGUAGUGGCACAGACUUACUAUCUUAGCACUACAGAGACAGAAACAUGCAAACACCAAGGCUUGCUGGUGGCUUAGGCAACUUAGCAAGCCCUGAGCUGAUGAGAGACCCUAUCUCAAAAACAAAGCUAAACCCCAAGGUGGAUUGUUCCUGAGAAACAACACCACAAUUGCCCUCUAACCUCGAUACAUGUGAACACACAUGUAACGUUACACACAGCCACAUAUACACAUGUACCCACAUGAACACACACUCACAGACACACAUAUACAAAACAACUACCAAUAACAAACAAAUAAAUAAAAACAAUCCACAGCUCUCUGUGAGCAUUAUUAGGAAGCUAAAUGUUUGGGGUGGCUACUGGCCCUGGAUCCAUUCUUCUUAUGUAUCUAACAUUGUCUGGUUGGUUUCCAUGCACAGAGAUGUGACAGAGAGGUGGACAGAAUGUGAGACCCAGAGAAUGACAAGGAGUGCUGUGAAAUGCUGUCUUUGGGGCAUGACAUGGUCAUUGCAUCCAUGAGCUCCCUGCAGCUGUAAUCGUCUGCACAAGAUCAAGUCAACAUUCUAACAGCCUCUCUCACUGAAACCAGAGCUCACCAAUUCCGAUUCAAGCCCCCAGGACCUGCCAGUCUCUGCCUCCACAGCACUGGAACUGCAGGCAUGUAUCAACCAUGGUGAUUAUCUUUUUGGUUUGGUUUGAGACAGGGUUUACCUAUUUAGACCAGGCUGGCCUCAAACUCACAGAGAUCCAUCUGACUCUGCCUCUUGAAUGCUGGGAUUAAAGUUCUAUGCUCCCACACCCAGCUCAUAUCUGGCUUUUAAAAGUGGGUCUGCUUCAACCAAUGACUGAUGGGAGCAGAGGCAGACACCCACAGCUAAACACUGAACUGAACUCCUGAAACCCAGUGACAGAGAGCGAGGUCUGAUGAGCAAAGGGGUCAAGA